rnacentral:rRNA from 1 species
UUAAGCGACUAAGCGUACACGGUGGAUGCCCUGGCAGUCAGAGGCGAUGAAGGACGUUCUAAUCUGCGAUAAGCGUCGGUAAGGUGAUAUGAACCGUUAUAACCGGCGAUUUCCGAAUGGGGAAACCCAGUGUGAUUCGUCACACUAUCAUUAACUGAAUCCAUAGGUUAAUGAGGCGAACCGGGGGAACUGAAACAUCUAAGUACCCCGAGGAAAAGAAAUCAACCGAGAUUCCCCCAGUAGCGGCGAGCGAACGGGGAGCAGCCCAGAGCCUGAAUCAGUGUGUGUGUUAGUGGAAGCGUCUGGAAAGGCGCGCGAUACAGGGUGACAGCCCCGUACACAAAAAUGCACAUGCUGUGAGCUCGAUGAGUAGGGCGGGACACGUGGUAUCCUGUCUGAAUAUGGGGGGACCAUCCUCCAAGGCUAAAUACUCCUGACUGACCGAUAGUGAACCAGUACCGUGAGGGAAAGGCGAAAAGAACCCCGGCGAGGGGAGUGAAAAAGAACCUGAAACCGUGUACGUACAAGCAGUGGGAGCACGCUUAGGCGUGUGACUGCGUACCUUUUGUAUAAUGGGUCAGCGACUUAUAUUCUGUAGCAAGGUUAACCGAAUAGGGGAGCCGAAGGGAAACCGAGUCUUAACUGGGCGUUAAGUUGCAGGGUAUAGACCCGAAACCCGGUGAUCUAGCCAUGGGCAGGUUGAAGGUUGGGUAACACUAACUGGAGGACCGAACCGACUAAUGUUGAAAAAUUAGCGGAUGACUUGUGGCUGGGGGUGAAAGGCCAAUCAAACCGGGAGAUAGCUGGUUCUCCCCGAAAGCUAUUUAGGUAGCGCCUCGUGAACUCAUCUCCGGGGGUAGAGCACUGUUUCGGCAAGGGGGUCAUCCCGACUUACCAACCCGAUGCAAACUGCGAAUACCGGAGAAUGUUAUCACGGGAGACACACGGCGGGUGCUAACGUCCGUCGUGAAGAGGGAAACAACCCAGACCGCCAGCUAAGGUCCCAAAGUCAUGGUUAAGUGGGAAACGAUGUGGGAAGGCCCAGACAGCCAGGAUGUUGGCUUAGAAGCAGCCAUCAUUUAAAGAAAGCGUAAUAGCUCACUGGUCGAGUCGGCCUGCGCGGAAGAUGUAACGGGGCUAAACCAUGCACCGAAGCUGCGGCAGCGACGCUGAUGCGUUGUUGGGUAGGGGAGCGUUCUGUAAGCCUGUGAAGGUGUGCUGUGAGGCAUGCUGGAGGUAUCAGAAGUGCGAAUGCUGACAUAAGUAACGAUAAAGCGGGUGAAAAGCCCGCUCGCCGGAAGACCAAGGGUUCCUGUCCAACGUUAAUCGGGGCAGGGUGAGUCGACCCCUAAGGCGAGGCCGAAAGGCGUAGUCGAUGGGAAACAGGUUAAUAUUCCUGUACUUGGUGUUACUGCGAAGGGGGGACGGAGAAGGCUAUGUUGGCCGGGCGACGGUUGUCCCGGUUUAAGCGUGUAGGCUGGUUUUCCAGGCAAAUCCGGAAAAUCAAGGCUGAGGCGUGAUGACGAGGCACUACGGUGCUGAAGCAACAAAUGCCCUGCUUCCAGGAAAAGCCUCUAAGCAUCAGGUAACAUCAAAUCGUACCCCAAACCGACACAGGUGGUCAGGUAGAGAAUACCAAGGCGCUUGAGAGAACUCGGGUGAAGGAACUAGGCAAAAUGGUGCCGUAACUUCGGGAGAAGGCACGCUGAUAUGUAGGUGAAGUCCCUCGCGGAUGGAGCUGAAAUCAGUCGAAGAUACCAGCUGGCUGCAACUGUUUAUUAAAAACACAGCACUGUGCAAACACGAAAGUGGACGUAUACGGUGUGACGCCUGCCCGGUGCCGGAAGGUUAAUUGAUGGGGUCAGCGCAAGCGAAGCUCUUGAUCGAAGCCCCGGUAAACGGCGGCCGUAACUAUAACGGUCCUAAGGUAGCGAAAUUCCUUGUCGGGUAAGUUCCGACCUGCACGAAUGGCGUAAUGAUGGCCAGGCUGUCUCCACCCGAGACUCAGUGAAAUUGAACUCGCUGUGAAGAUGCAGUGUACCCGCGGCAAGACGGAAAGACCCCGUGAACCUUUACUAUAGCUUGACACUGAACAUUGAGCCUUGAUGUGUAGGAUAGGUGGGAGGCUUAGAAGUGUGGACGCCAGUCUGCAUGGAGCCGACCUUGAAAUACCACCCUUUAAUGUUUGAUGUUCUAACGUUGACCCGUAAUCCGGGUUGCGGACAGUGUCUGGUGGGUAGUUUGACUGGGGCGGUCUCCUCCUAAAGAGUAACGGAGGAGCACGAAGGUUGGCUAAUCCUGGUCGGACAUCAGGAGGUUAGUGCAAUGGCAUAAGCCAGCUUGACUGCGAGCGUGACGGCGCGAGCAGGUGCGAAAGCAGGUCAUAGUGAUCCGGUGGUUCUGAAUGGAAGGGCCAUCGCUCAACGGAUAAAAGGUACUCCGGGGAUAACAGGCUGAUACCGCCCAAGAGUUCAUAUCGACGGCGGUGUUUGGCACCUCGAUGUCGGCUCAUCACAUCCUGGGGCUGAAGUAGGUCCCAAGGGUAUGGCUGUUCGCCAUUUAAAGUGGUACGCGAGCUGGGUUUAGAACGUCGUGAGACAGUUCGGUCCCUAUCUGCCGUGGGCGCUGGAGAACUGAGGGGGGCUGCUCCUAGUACGAGAGGACCGGAGUGGACGCAUCACUGGUGUUCGGGUUGUCAUGCCAAUGGCACUGCCCGGUAGCUAAAUGCGGAAGAGAUAAGUGCUGAAAGCAUCUAAGCACGAAACUUGCCCCGAGAUGAGUUCUCCCUGACCCUUUAAGGGUCCUGAAGGAACGUUGAAGACGACGACGUUGAUAGGCCGGGUGUGUAAGCGCAGCGAUGCGUUGAGCUAACCGGUACUAAUGAACCGUGAGGCUUAACCUU